rnacentral:lncRNA from 1 species
UAUUUUUUUUCUUUUCUAGUUUCUACGCUGCCCCAACAAUCAGCUCUAUGUUCUGGUCAUCGAGAACUUGUCUAGUCGCUCCAUCGCAAGUCCGUCAGCGUCGAUAGUCGUUCGUUUUUGCCAAAGUUGCUCAAUCGGUGAGUUCCAUAACGGAUCCGGUCUUCGCAAAGCUGGAGUUCGACAAUGGCCAAAUCAAAAAUUCCGUGAGUUUUCAUCUAUUC